rnacentral:lncRNA from 1 species
AUCCUCAGUUGUUGAGUAAGCAGGGAAGACCCCCUCCAGGAUGCAAGAGAAGAAAAACUAUGAUUUGCGGAAAAAAUAAGUUUGUCAGAAUGGCAGCAUCAACUUGAAUUCUCCAGGAUGACAGUGUAAAAGCACUUUCAUAACCUUAAGUUGGAUAUCAUUGGAAGAAGGAAAAAAAAACCACUCAGGCUGUCAGCCAAAUCAGGAAUAUUGGAAGGACUAAUGAAAAGAACUGGAGUCAGGGGUUUAAAAUAGGACUCUUGGAACCAAGAUAUCUGGAAAUAACACUUAUAAGGGAAUGGAAAAUAUGCAUUAUUGUGUACCAGACCCCAUUAAAGUGUUUUUCAU